rnacentral:rRNA from 1 species
UGCGUAGGCGGAACUUUAAGUCAGUGGUGAAAUCCUGCGGCUCAACCGUAGAACUGCCAUUGAUACUGAUGUUCUUGAAUGCAGUUGAGGUAGGCGGAAUGUGUAAUGUAGCGGUGAAAUGCUUAGAUAUUACACAGAACACCGAUUGUGAAGGCAGCUUGCUAAACUGUGAUUGACGCUGAUGCACGAAAGCGUGGGGAGCGAACAGGAUUAGAUACCCUGGUAGUCC